rnacentral:lncRNA from 10 species
ACUGCAAAAGGUCUGUAGCUACACUCCUGAGCCGGAAAGACCACGAACCCACCAGAAGGAGGAAACUACGAACACAUCCGAACAUCAGAAGGAACAAACUGUGGACACGCUGCCUUUAAGAACUGUAACAUUCACCGCGAGGGUCUGUGGCUUCAUUCUUGAAGUCAGUGAGACCAAGACCCCACCAAUUCUGGAUACACUGCUACAUCGGGUCCUCAUCCAAUCUGCCUGGUGUCCCUACAAGAAGAAGAAAUAUGGACACUAAGAAAUACGAAGGGUGCAUGCAGAGAAGAGAGCAUGUGAGGGCACACAGGAGGCGGCCGCGGCUCUGUAAGACAAAGCAAGGGGGCUCAGUAGAAACCAGCUCUGGGCCGGGUGCGGUGGCUCACGCAUGUAAUCCCAGGCGUGAUCAUUUGAGGUCAGGAUUUAGAGACCAUCCCGGAAAUACGGCAAAACCCCAUCUCUACUAAAAAUAGAAAAAUUAGCCGGGCGUGGUGGUGGGCGCCUGUAAUCCCAGCUACUCGAGAAGCUGAGGGACGAGAAUUGCUUGAACCUGGGGCUACUCUGGAAGCUGAGGCACGAGAAUUGCUUGAAUCUGGGAGGUGGAGGUUGCAGUGCAACCAAGAUGGUGCCACUGCACUCCAGCCUAGGUAGCAGAGCAAGACUCCGUUUCAAAAAUGAAAAGCAGAAACCAACCCUGAUGACAUCUUAAUCUUGGACGUCAGCCUCCAGAAAUCUCAAAUGUCACCUCCUCCAAGAAGACUUCUCAGACUACCACCAAAGAGGCCACCAUAUUAUUCUGUCUCCUGAUCCUGUGUAGUUCCUUCAACCCUCUUGUCCCAGUUGAUCUGUUUCAUUGGGGUGUCUUCUUCACCCCAAGGCAUAAGUUUCAUGAAAGAAAAGAAUGUUGUUUGAGUCACUGCUGUAUCCUCAGAGCCUCAGACAGGGCUGGACACAUUAGAUGCCACAUAAAUGUUUGCUACAUGGAUGAAUGAGUAGAAUAGACAGAUGGACAGGUGGGAGGGUGCAAGGAUGUUAGCUCAGGUGGUCAAACUCUCUAGAAAAAUAACCCACCCUUAACAGGCAUGGUUGGCUUGAUCUCCAUAAACAUUCCCAUAAAGGAAACGUGGGAACUGGGAAGCCCAAGGCUCAAAGCAAGAAAUGACUAGAGACAGAUCACAGGUCACUCAGUCAGCAAGGGGGACAGUCAAGGAUAGAAGCUUCCUUGGGUGAGGAGGGGGCUGCUCUGCUCCCACAGUGGGCUCAGGGUUCAUACGGUCCUGCGGAGGCCUCCCCAGGCCUACCUCUGCUGAUUAAAGUUUCCCCAAAAAGCAAGCUCCUCCUUCUACUUGCCCUCUAAGCUUUCGGGGUACUAGAAGCUAAUCAUGCAAUUUUUCUUUUUUCUUUUUCUUUUUUUUUUUUGAGACGGAGUUUUGCUCUUGUUGCCCAGGCUGGAGUACAGUGGCGCGAUCUCGGCUCACUGCAACCUCUGCCUCCCGGGUUCAAGCAAUUCUUUUGCCUCACCCACCUGAAUAACUAGGAUGACAGGUGUUUGCCAUCAUGCCCGGGUAAUUUUUAUUUUAGUAGAGACGGAGUUUCACCAUGCUGGCCAGGCUGGUUUCGAACUCUU